AUUGAACGCUGGCGGCAUGCCUUACACAUGCAAGUCGAACGGCAGCACGGGUGCUUGCACCUGGUGGCGAGUGGCGAACGGGUGAGUAAUACAUCGGAACAUGUCCUGUAGUGGGGGAUAGCCCGGCGAAAGCCGGAUUAAUACCGCAUACGAUCUACGGAUGACAGCGGGGGACCUUCGGGCCUCGCGCUAUAGGGUUGGCCGAUGGCUGAUUAGCUAGUUGGUGGGGUAAAGGCCUACCAAGGCGACGAUCAGUAGCUGGUCUGAGAGGACGACCAGCCACACUGGGACUGAGACACGGCCCAGACUCCUACGGGAGGCAGCAGUGGGGAAUUUUGGACAAUGGGCGAAAGCCUGAUCCAGCAAUGCCGCGUGUGUGAAGAAGGCCUUCGGGUUGUAAAGCACUUUUGUCCGGAAAGAAAUCCUUGGCCCUAAUACGGUCGGGGGUUGACGGUACCGGAAGAAUAAGCACCGGCUAACUACGUG
rnacentral:rRNA from 1 species